GACGAACGCUGGCGGCGUGCUUAACACAUGCAAGUCGAACGGAAAGGCCCUGCUUUUGUGGGGUGCUCGAGUGGCGAACGGGUGAGUAACACGUGAGUAACCUGCCCUUGACUUUGGGAUAACUUCAGGAAACUGGGGCUAAUACCGGAUAGGAGCUCCUGCUGCACGGUGGGGGUUGGAAAGUUUCGGCGGUUGGGGAUGGACUCGCGGCUUAUCAGCUUGUUGGUGGGGUAGUGGCUUACCAAGGCUUUGACGGGUAGCCGGCCUGAGAGGGUGACCGGCCACAUUGGGACUGAGAUACGGCCCAGACUCCUACGGGAGGCAGCAGUGGGGAAUAUUGCACAAUGGGCGGAAGCCUGAUGCAGCAACGCCGCGUGCGGGAUGACGGCCUUCGGGUUGUAAACCGCUUUCGCCUGUGACGAAGCGUGAGUGACGGUAAUGGGUAAAGAAGCACCGGCUAACUACGUGCCAGCAGCCGCGGUGAUACGUAGGGUGCGAGCGUUGUCCGGAUUUAUUGGGCGUAAAGGGCUCGUAGGUGGUUGAUCGCGUCGGAAGUGUAAUCUUGGGGCUUAACCCUGAGCGUGCUUUCGAUACGGGUUGACUUGAGGAAGGUAGGGGAGAAUGGAAUUCCUGGUGGAGCGGUGGAAUGCGCAGAUAUCAGGAGGAACACCAGUGGCGAAGGCGGUUCUCUGGGCCUUUCCUGACGCUGAGGAGCGAAAGCGUGGGGAGCGAACAGGCUUAGAUACCCUGGUAGUCCACGCUGUAAACGGUGGGUACUAGGUGUGGGGUCCAUUCCACGGGUUCCGUGCCGUAGCUAACGCUUUAAGUACCCCGCCUGGGGAGUACGGCCGCAAGGCUAAAACUCAAAGGAAUUGGCGGGGCCCCGCACAAGCGGCGGAGCAUGCGGAUUAAUUCGAUGCAACGCGUAGAACCUUACCUGGGUUUGACAUGGAUCGGGAGUGCUCAGAGAUGGGUGUGCCUCUUUUGGGGUCGGUUCACAGGUGGUGCAUGGCUGUCGUCAGCUCGUGUCGUGAGAUGUUGGGUUAAGUCCCGCAACGAGCGCAACCCUUGUUCACUGUUGCCAGCACGUUAUGGUGGGGACUCAGUGGAGACCGCCGGAGUCAACUCGGAGGAAGGUGGGGAUGACGUCAAGUCAUCAUGCCCCUUAUGUCCAGGGCUUCACGCAUGCUACAAUGGCUGGUACAGAGAGUGGCGAGCCUGUGAGGGUGAGCGAAUCUCGGAAAGCCGGUCUCAGUUCGGAUUGGGGUCUGCAACUCGACCUCAUGAAGUCGGAGUCGCUAGUAAUCGCAGAUCAGCAACGCUGCGGUGAAUACGUUCCCGGG
rnacentral:rRNA from 1 species